UACGUAGGUGGCGAGCGUUGUCCGGAUUUACUGGGCGUAAAGAGCGCGCAGGCGGUCGUAUAAGUCGAAUGUCAAAGCCCCCGGCUCAACUGGGGAGGGUCAUUCGAUACUGUUCGACUCGAAGGCAGGAGAGGGUAGUGGAAUUCCGGGUGUAGUGGUGAAAUGCGUAGAUAUCCGGAGGAACACCAGUGGCGAAGGCGACUUUCUGGCCUGUUCUUGACGCUGAGGCGCGAAAGCUAGGGGAGCAAACGGG
rnacentral:rRNA from 1 species